rnacentral:rRNA from 1 species
AGUGAACGCUGGCGGUAGGCCUAACACAUGCAAGUCGAACGGCAGCACAGUAAGAGCUUGCUCUUACGGGUGGCGAGUGGCGGACGGGUGAGGAAUACAUCGGAAUCUACUUUUUCGUGGGGGAUAACGUAGGGAAACUUACGCUAAUACCGCAUACGACCUACGGGUGAAAGCAGGGGAUCUUCGGACCUUGCGCGAUUGAAUGAGCCGAUGUCGGAUUAGCUAGUUGGCGGGGUAAAGGCCCACCAAGGCGACGAUCCGUAGCUGGUCUGAGAGGAUGACCAGCCACACUGGAAAGGAAACAAGGUCCAGACCCCUCGGGGGGGAAACAGUGGGGAAUUUUGAAGAAGGGGCCCAAACCGGACCGGCCCAACCCGGGGGGGGGAAGAAGGCCUUCGGGUUGAAAACCCUUUUUGUGGGGAAAAAAAAGAAGCGGGAAAAUACCCCGAUUUUCGGACGGGCCCCAAAAAAAAACCCCGGGCUAACUUCGGC